rnacentral:rRNA from 1 species
UGUGCCAGCAGCCGCGGUAAUACGUAGGGUGCAAGCGUUGUCCGGAACUAUUGGGCGUAAAGAGCUCGUAGGCGGUUUGUUGCGUCGGCUGUGAAAACCUGGGGCUCAACCUCAGGCCUGCAGUCGAUACGAGCAGACUAGAGUGUUGCAGGGGAGACUGGAAUUCCUGGUGUAGCGGUGAAAUGCGCAGAUAUCAGGAGGAACACCGGUGGCGAAGGCGGGUCUCUGGGCAACAACUGACGCUGAGGAGCGAAAGCGUGGGGAGCGAACAGGAUUAG